UACGGAGGGGGCUAGCGUUGUUCGGAAUUACUGGGCGUAAAGCGUACGUAGGCGGCUUUGUAAGUUAGAGGUGAAAGCCCGGGGCUCAACCCCGGAAUUGCCUUUAAGACUGCAUCGCUUGAACGUCGGAGAGGUGAGUGGAAUUCCGAGUGUAGAGGUGAAAUUCGUAGAUAUUCGGAAGAACACCAGUGGCGAAGGCGGCGUCACUGGACGACUGUUGACGCUGAGGUACGAAAGCGUGGGGAGCAAACAGG
rnacentral:rRNA from 1 species